GAUGAACGCUGGCGGCGUGCCUAGUACAUGCAAGUCGAGCGAACAGACGAGGAGCUUGCUCCUCUGACGUUAGCGGCGGACGGGUGAGUAACACGUGGAUAACCUACCUAUAAGACUGGGAUAACUUCGGGAAACCGGAGCUAAUACCGGAUAAUAUAUUGAACCGCAUGGUUCAAUAGUGAAAGACGGUUUUGCUGUCACUUAUAGAUGGAUCCGCGCCGCAUUAGCUAGUUGGUAAGGUAACGGCUUACCAAGGCGACGAUGCGUAGCCGACCUGAGAGGGUGAUCGGCCACACUGGAACUGAGACACGGUCCAGACUCCUACGGGAGGCAGCAGUAGGGAAUCUUCCGCAAUGGGCGAAAGCCUGACGGAGCAACGCCGCGUGAGUGAUGAAGGUCUUCGGAUCGUAAAACUCUGUUAUUAGGGAAGAACAAAUGUGUAAGUAACUAUGCACGUCUUGACGGUACCUAACCAGAAAGCCACGGCUAACUACGUG
rnacentral:rRNA from 1 species